rnacentral:rRNA from 1 species
AACGAACGCUGGCGGCAUGCCUAACACAUGCAAGUCGAACGAGACCUUCGGGUCUAGUGGCGCACGGGUGCGUAACGCGUGGGAACCUGCCCUUAGGUUCGGAAUAACUCCCCGAAAGGGGUGCUAAUACCGGAUAAUGUCUUCGGACCAAAGAUUUAUCGCCUUUGGAUGGGCCCGCGUUGGAUUAGCUAGUUGGUAGGGUAAAAGCAUACCAAGGCGACGAUCCAUAGCUGGUAUGAGAGGAUGAUCAGCCACACUGGGACUGAGACACGGCCCAGACUCCUACGGGAGGGAGCAGUGGGGAAUAUUGGACAAUGGGCGAAAGCCUGAUGCAGCAAUGAUGCGUGAGUGAUGAAGGCCGUAGGGUUGUAAAGCUCUUUUACCCGGGAUGAUAAUGACAGUACCGGGAGAAUAAGCUCCGGCUAACUCCGUG